UACGAAGGGGGCUAGCGUUGCUCGGAAUUACUGGGCGUAAAGGGAGUGUAGGCGGAUAGUUUAGUCAGAGGUGAAAGCCCAGGGCUCAACCCUGGAAUUGCCUUUGAUACUGGCUAUCUUGAGUGUGGGAGAGGUUAGCGGAACUCCGAGUGUAGAGGUGAAAUUCGUAGAUAUUCGGAAGAACACCAGUGGCGAAGGCGGCUAACUGGCCCAUUACUGACGCUGAGGCUCGAAAGCGUGGGGAGCAAACAGG
rnacentral:rRNA from 1 species